rnacentral:rRNA from 1 species
CCUACGGGUGGCAGCAGUGAGGAAUAUUGGUCAAUGGACGAGAGUCUGAACCAGCCAAGUAGCGUGAAGGAUGACUGCCCUAUGGGUUGUAAACUUCUUUUAUAUGGGAAUAAAAUGUUCCACGUGUGGGAUUUUGUAUGUACCAUAUGAAUAAGGAUCGGCUAACUCCGUGCCAGCAGCCGCGGUACUACGGAGGAUCCGAGCGUUAUCCGGAUUUAUUGGGUUUAAAGGGAGCGUAGGUGGAUUGUUAAGUCAGUUGUGAAAGUUUGAGGCUCAACCGUAAAAUUGCAGUUGAAACUGGCAGUCUUGAGUACAGUAGAGGUGGGCGGAAUUCGUGGUGUAGCGGUGAAAUGCUUAGAUAUCACGAAGAACUCCGAUUGCGAAGGCAGUUCACUGGACUGCAACUGACACUGAGGCUCGAAAGUGUGGGUAUCAAACAGGAUUAGAUACCCGAGUAGUC